GAUCAACGCUGGCGGCGUGCCUAAUGCAUGCAAGUCGAACGGGGCUUGGUACGCCAAGUCCAGUGGCGGACGGGUGCGGAACACGUACGAGACCUACCCUCUGGUGGGGAAUACCCCUUCGAAAGGAGGGCUAAUGCCGCAUACGGUCAUCGGGGUGAUGCCGGAUGAGGAAAGGCGUCGGAAGGCGCUGCCGGAGGCGGGGCGUGCGGCCGAUUAGCUGGUUGGUGGGGUAAUGGCCUACCAAGGCUGCGAUCGGUAGCUGGUCUGAGAGGAUGGU
rnacentral:rRNA from 1 species